UAAUACUCUGUGAUCUUUGACAAGUCAUAUAACAUUUUCAAAUCUCAGUUUCAUCUAUAAAAUGGGGAUGGUACUUUCAUGGACUACCUCAGAGGACUGUUAUAAUAAUUCAAUGAAAUGUAGUAUGGUAGAGAAGAAAUAGGGCUAGUUUUAGACUCAUGGGAACUGUGUUCAAAUUAUGCCUCUGUGACUUAUUACUGACUCUGAGAUCUUGAGUAAGUCAUAUUAUCUCUCAGAGACUGUUUCCCCUUAUAAUGAGGAUGUUGGACUCAGUGACAUGUGAGGAUCAACUCAACUCUUAUUAUGUGUUCUUAUGAUAGCCAAAAAUUCUGCAGGCACUCACCACAUGGGUCUCUGACGAUCAAAACUUUCAUGUUCCUUAUAUUUCCUCUAUUUUUUCUUCUCAAAUGUGAUUACAAGCAGCAGCAUUGCAUAGUGUAAAGAGGGCCAGCCUGGAAGUAAAGAAGUGGAAUCAUGAAUGUCUGAAAAAUAGCAAACAACAAUGGUCUGGUUCCAGUACAGUUUAUCAGUAAAAUUGUCCAGGAUAUUUUGGGACUUCUGUUUAUGAUAUGGUCAUUGAUCAUCAGUCAGUCCAUGAAAGAUAGCGAGUUUUGCAUGAACAAUUCUUGCCACCAGGUCAUGCCUUACUAAGUAUUUGGCAGAUGCAAAAAUUUUUAUAGUCUACAAUGAUGUAUUGCUCAUUGUAUGCCAUUUCCUUGAAUAAUUUGUAUUGGUCACUCAGGCCAGAUUCCUUAAAAACAACCCUUUUAUAAUUUUGGUGGUUAUUAAUAUUAAUAUUAUUAGCUUAUUAUUCUUGUCUUUUUUCAAUUAAGUUCAGACAAAAAUGGUCCAGAGGCAAGUUGCCAUCUUAUAUUUUUUUAUAUUUAAUGUUCUGCAGACUAUUGUACCAGUCAAUAAUUCUGGUAUUCUUAAGGAUGACUUUUAUAUAAUUUCUUAUGGCAGUAACUUGAUCCUGAAUCCCUAUCAUAAAACCAUCUUGUGAACAAAUCUGAAUAUCUUGGCCAUUUUGUGAAUGUUUCAUUUUUGACAGGUUUUUAGUUGAAUUCGUGUGGGUUUUACCAUAUUCUUGUUAUUAUUUAUUGUUGUUAUUACUCUUUAAAGUCCUUUCUAGUUCUAGAAAUCUUUUAAAAAUCAUCUGUGUUUAGCUACUAGAAUCCAGGCUCAAUAAUUUAAUUUGACAUUAGGCAAAUACAUGGAGAAGUUGACUCUAAAGAGAUGAAUCAGGGGCAACAACUAGCUGGGUCGUCACCAGAUUUAGAACUCAUCUGUGUGGGGGAGUCACUUCUGUUUUGAAGAAAUGAUGCAGGAAAGUGAUUGUGCUCCUUAGUCCUCCUAUGAACCCCAAAAGACAGCCUCCUGCCAAGUGUUGAGACACAGACAUCCUUGGUUUUAAGGAUACUGUGGGGAAAAACAGAUUGUGAGAAUUUGAAAAUUACAGGAAACUCUUAAAUGGUAGGCCUUCUGGAGGGCUUUAGUGCUCACAAGAAAUAGAAGAAAUUCAGGGAUAAUGCCCCACUUCUAGAGCCUAAAUAAAAUACCUAAUGUGGAUUCAUUGAACCUCUCUUCUUGAAGGAAUUCUUUUCAGUAAGAAUCUGCUACAUACACAUCCCCACUUCAAUCAUUUCAAAUUGCUUCUACCUUCCUUUAUUUCUAAUAGAGUUAUCAUUAAGAAGUUAGCAUUUUUAAUUUACUUUGGUGGGAUUUUUUGAGGCCUUAAAACACUUUUCUCAGUCUUGGUGACAACAAACUCAUUUUUCACUAUAAUUAAAAUGUCACUUUGAUAAAUAAUUCAAUCAACCCCCUUCCACCUAUGAAUAGCUUUUUGCUAUAAUUGUUCACAUUCUAGUGAAUUUGGGAAUGUUGAGAAAGAAUUUAAGAAGUAUUUAGGCAACAAAGAUAAAUAGAAUUUAUUUUCAGUCCUUCCACAACCCAUUCUUAACCAAAAAUAUUUUCAUACCAAGACCCCUCCAACCAUUGCUUUCCCCCAUUCCUUCCUGACAUGGUUUAGAAGGAUAGAAAGGGCAGGAAUAGGUUUUAUCUUCCAGAAAAGUAUAGCAUCUGAGAAAGAAUAUAUUCUCUGUCUCUUUCCUUGAAAGUCAUGUAGCAAAAUUAACGGGUCUAUUUGUGUAGUACAGUGCUUUUAACAUAGCUGACACUUAAUAAGUUUUUAUUGAUUUAAAUGGAAUUUAAUUUAAGUUGUGUUGAACUAGCAAUAAUGUUCUGAGAGCUGAAUAGAAUGUCCAGAACAAUGGCCCCACUUUUGUGUCUACUGAAAAAUAAGCAGUACAUGGGUUUUUAUUGCUACAGUUGCCAGGCAUCCUUGAAUUUUGUAGUUUCAAAUGAAGCACCCAGUGCUGCCCAUGACAUGAUGACCCCUCCCCAAAAAAAAGCUAUUCCAGAUUAAAGAUUGAUACUUGGUGAGCCAGUAUCCACUAAAAAGCUUAUAAGCCCCAACAUGUGUGUUUUAUUUUAUUAGAAAAACCAAAGGAUACAGUUCAAAGCUUAAGACAUUUUAAUCAAGGGAACUGCAAAAAAAAAAAAAAAAAAAAAAGACAAAAAAGCCUCCUCCCCCCCAAUAAUACAAAAAAAUAAAAAUCUUACAUGUUAUCACACUACCAAAGGAAGAAAGGAAAAACAUGUUGGGAACAUGAAUGACUAGGGAACACUAGUGAAGGAGUGACCAAGGAAUAUAUAUGGCCAGGAUAAAUUGAGCCUUCAAUGCUGAAGAAGCACCUCAAAUGUCUGGCGAUGUCAUUGCUCUUUUCUGCUCUCUUCUGAUCAUCUCCUUUGAUUUGCUUCUUCUUUCUUUUGCCAUCUUCAGGUCUUCAAAUGAAAUACAACUUCUUCAGGAGGGGUCUGACAGCUUAUUAGCCUAUAGCCCCAGGUACUAUUCAUGAUGCAGACCUCAGUUAGCUAAAGAAUUAUAAAAUCAUAGAAUUUUAGAGUUAGAAGAGAUCUUUGCAAGUAUGUAGUAUAAUCUAGAAUGGUUAAAUAAUUCUACACUCAGAUAAAAGACCUCCAAUUAAAAGCCUUUAAGCAUUUUACAUUUGCCUUUUUAACUGGUUGAUUUCAAUAUAAACUAUAAAAUUUGACUUAAAGUGAAAAAUUUCUGUCAGCUCCUUUUCAUUCACAGGAUAUUAAAAGAGGCCCACAAAAGCACAGGAGUUAGUUGGAGAAGACUAAAAGGGGAUGAUGACCUCUGUCCUACUCCAUGGCAUAAGUGAUUUUUAGAUGUCCAAGCAGACCACAGGGCUAUAGAUUUAGAGCUGGAAGAUAAUUGAGAGCUCGUUCACUUUCACUCUUUUAUUUUACAGUUGAGGAAACUGAGUCCCAGAGACUAAGGUCACUAAGCAGCAGAACCAGCAUUUGAAACAUGCUCCUUUGACUUGUUCGAUUGAACCCCAAAUAGUAUUUGAAGCAUGUUUGAUUUGGGACACCAAUGUUACCAAUGCUGAGAUAGUGUUAGAUGGCAUAGUGGCUAAAGCUCCAGACCCAGCAUCAAACACUUUCUAAUUAUGUGACUCUGGGCAAAUCUUUUAACUAUUUUUGCCUCAAUUUCCUCAUCUGUAAAAUGAGAUGGAAAAGGAAAUGGCAUACCAUCCCAGUAUCUUUGCCAAAAAAAAAAAAAAAAAAAUCCAAGUGGGGUCAUGAAGAGUUAGAAAUGAUUGAUAUGUAUGAAGAAAAAAAACAAAAUUACCAAUACCAAUACCCUUUCUUGGGAAAAAAAAAAUUCAGUGAAUGUGUCUCCCUGAUCACUUUCCCAAAAAGUUAUCAAAGUCUCCACAAUGCUUCAAAGGGAUCCUUAGAACCCAGGUGUCUUACCAGCUCCUUCCAUAGACCCAAGGGACUCACUGUUAUUGUUAUUCAUCACGCCAUUGUUUUCUAAGCCUGUGCUGAAAACAUGCUUUCUGGAAAUGGGCCAGGGAGGGGAAUAGUGAGAAGAUAAAGGUAGCAGAAAGAAAUCAGUCAUAAAGUCAUAUCACGUCCCCACUCACAACUUAGUCCUCAGAGCUGAUCAGACUCCAAAGUACAGAACAUCAAUCACGGAGCUAUAUCUGAGACAGUGGUGUCUGGUUUCAACAAGUUGAAUUUAUUCAUUAGAAAAACAGAAGAAAAAAAAGUUGUUGCAAAAAUAUACCCUGUGAUUGGGACUGACUAGAGAUCAGGAGUGAAGAAUGCUGAAAGUUGACAUUUGCACUGAUUUCUGAGAGUACUAAGUGUGUCCCCAGGAGAUAGAAAAAAGGACUAACAGUCAGCUUCCUUUCCACUACACAUUUCCUGCUGAGGAAGGUCCAUUUUGACAACUGUGAGUACAUUGCCUAGGCUGGAUCUGCCCCAAGAAACUGUAGGUGAAGGGAAAAGUCCCCUUGCCAGUGCCGGCAGGAGCUCAGGAUGCUUUCUGGGAAGGCAACCUAGGCAUCUCCUGGUCCUCGGGGCUGGUUUCCUGAGAUGGAUAGUAUACUAAUACAUUGCCUGCAUGAAAGGUAACCUUGGUUGUUAAAUAACACCCCUAUCACAUGGAAUUAGGAUGAUUUACUAUUCAAACAAAAUGUUCCCACUUGGCUUAGAAAGAACAAGUAUGAUAUGGAUUUUGUGUAGUUGUUACUAACCACAUGUAAAAGUCACUUCUUUUACACAUAGGAGGUAGGUCUUCUAUCAAUAAAUCAAUCAAUCAUUAUUUAAUAAAUGCUUACUAUAUGCCAUGAUUUAAGGAUUUUAAAAAAAUACAAAAGUCAAAAGGGCCCUCUCCUCAAGAAGUAUAUUAUAUUCAAGGACAGGUAGAAAAAUAACAUGGACACAUAAACAUAAAUAUCAGAUAUAUACAAACAAAGUUAAUUUAGCAGCUAGGAAGAUGAAGAAGACUCUUAUUUCAGAGAUAACCUGAUAUGCUUUAAACAUCUAUGAGGGGUUAGUUUAAGUUUGGAAAGCUAGAGAAAGAUAUUACAAGCCAAGGAAAUGCCAAUCCAUUUGAAAGAAGGCUAUCAAUCAGAAAAUGCUAGAUUAUUUUUGACUUUGAAGAAGUAGAAAUCAAUAUAACACUAAACCUCUUUAAAAGUGUUUAUUAGAAUCAUACACUUAUGUAUAUUCUAAGGAUUUUCGUGGCUAUCUAAUCCAGCCCCCUCAUUUUGUAGAUGAGGUUAUUGCUAUGUGGUAUAGUGGAUAGAGUACUGAGCCUGGAGUCAAGAAGAUUCCUUCUUCAAGUUACUUAACCCUAUUUGCCUCCGUUUCCUCAUCUAUAAAAUUAAUUGUAAAAGGAAAUGGCAAAGCACUUCAGUAUCUUUGUCCCCCCCCAAAAAAAAACAAACAAAAAAAUGGAGUCAUGAAGAGUCAGACAUGACCAAAAAAAUGACUGAACAACCAAGACCCAGAAAAAUUUUCCCAACAUCACAUAAUUUGGAAUUUAUAUUCAAACCUAGAUUCACAUUCCACAAAUCUUGUGCCCUUGCCAUAACACCACACUAAUUUCCCAGAUUUUCAGACAUGUUGCUGUUCAGUUGUUUUUCAGUCAUGUCCAAUUCGUCAUUGACUCCAUUUGGGGUUUUCUUGGCAAAUAUACAGGAGUGGUUUGAUAUUUCCUUCUCUAGCUCAUUUUACAGAUGAGGAAAUUGAAGCAAAUUUCAGACCUUGAGAAUUUCAUUUUAAUGGCUUUGAAAAAUAGAUGACAAAAGGACCAAUUUUGGUACUUAUUAUAACUUUUUCAAAAUGAAAAUAAUUAUCCUAAAUUUAUACAUAUAUAUACAUGUAUACAUAUGUGUGUGCAUAUAUAUUUCCUUUUGCUAGGCAAUUGGGGUUGUUGACUUGUCCAGGGCUACACAGCUGGGAAGUGUUAAGUGUCUGAAGCUCAAUGUAAACUCAGGUCCUCCUGACUCCAGGACUGGUGCUCUAUCUAUUGCAUCAUCUAGCUACCCUUAACCUAAAAAUGUCCUAAACAAUUCUCCAUAUCUGGACAAGGCCAACACAGUCAUGGGAAAAUAAAUGUACAUUUCUAGAAAUUUUAUAAACAUCAAUUAAGUAUAUUUUAUGCAUAGGCUGCUGGAAAUAUAAACACAAAAUUGAAUUCUUUCCUGCCCUCAGGAAGUUAUAUUCUACUGAAGAAAUAUAAAAAUUGCCUUGUCAACUAUAUAAAUAACUGUAGUAGAAUUUAUGAAGGAGAAAAUAUUAACAACUGAUGAGAAAAAUUCACAUGAAAACAUGGCACCUAAACUGAACCUAGAAGGAAGUCAGGUACAAUGAGAGUAAAAAUGAGGUAAUACAUACCACACAUGAGGAACUACCUGUGGAAAUAUACAGUGGCAGAGGUUGGAGUAUCAAGUUUAGGGAACUGAUAGUAGUUUAAGUAGGCUGUCAUCCAGGAUUUAUGAAAAGGAUAGGGGUGGAGAGUAAAAUACAUUAGAAAGGUAUGUGGAGCUGAGAUUGGAGAAGACAUUGAGAGACAGGCUAAGCAGUUUGCAUUUCAUCACAGAAGAAAUGGAGAGAUACUGAUGUGUUGUUGUUGUUUUGAGAAGUAUGCAUUUCUUUGAUCGUUGUGUGAAGGACAGUGUGAAGACAAGAAAAGCUGGAAGUAGGAAAACUAAUUAGGAAAUUUUUACAGGAAUACAAAGGAAAGGUGAUAAUGGCCUGAAUUAAGACAAGAAAUGUAUGAGUGGAUGGGAUAGAUGGGCCUGAUAUAUUAAAGAAGUAGAAUCAACAAGACUUGACAACUAAUUCAAUAUGGAAGGUAAGGUAGAGGAAAGAGUCAAAGAUGGACCUAGGUUAGGAACUUGGAUCAUUAGAAAAAUAGUGGUAUCUGAAGCAGAAAUAAGGAAGAAGAAGAAAAGCAGUUUAGGGAUUGAAGAAAGAUCAUGAGAUACACUUUUGAACAUUUUGAAUUUGAAAGACUUAAGAGGAAAUCCAGAAAGAUUGUGAAUAAGGGUAAUUCAGGGGUGAAAUGGAAAUAUAGAUUUAGGAGGCAUCUGUGUAGAGAUCAUACUUAAACAUUUGAUGAGGUCUCCAAGAUAAGGUAUAUAAAGUAAAUGGAUCCAGGUCAGAACCCUGGAAAAUAUAAAGAACAUAAAACAAAGAAAAUAGAAUAGGGAUUAUGGUCAACAAAGGAAACCCCUCCUCCCCC